GAAUCCUAGUCUUCCUCCAACUCUUUUCAACUUUCUGGUCUACUUCUGCAUCUGGUUCUAGAUUCUUACAAGCUACUGGGUCAUGGAAAAGCUUUGGUUUCCUGGCAGAAGAAUCAAGAAAAAUGCAGAAGACGGGGUGAGAGUG